AAAUUGAAGAGUUUGAUCAUGGCUCAGAUUGAACGCUGGCGGCAGGCCUAACACAUGCAAGUCGAACGGUAGCACAGAGAGCUUGCUCUCGGGUGACGAGUGGCGGACGGGUGAGUAAUGUCUGGGAAACUGCCUGAUGGAGGGGGAUAACUACUGGAAACGGUGGCUAAUACCGCAUAACGUCGCAAGACCAAAGAGGGGGACCUUCGGGCCUCUUGCCAUCAGAUGUGCCCAGAUGGGAUUAGCUAGUUGGUGAGGUAACGGCUCACCAAGGCGACG
rnacentral:rRNA from 1 species